GAUGAACGCUAGCGGCAGGCUUAAUACAUGCAAGUCGUGGGGCAGCGCAGUGUAGCAAUACAUGGGCGGCGACCGGCAAACGGGUGCGGAACACGUACGCAACCUUCCUUCAAGUGGGGGAUAGCCCAGGGAAACUUGGAUUAAUACCCCGUAAUAUUACGAAGCGGCAUCACUUUGUAAUUAUAGCAGCAAUGCGCUUGAAGAUGGGCGUGCGCCUGAUUAGGUAGUUGGGGGGGUAACCGCCCACCAAGCCUGCGAUCAGUAACUGGUGUGAGAGCACGACCAGUCACACGGGCACUGAGACACGGGCCCCACUCCUACGGGAGGCAGCAGUAAGGAAUAUUGGUCAAUGGACGCAAGUCUGAACCAGCCAUGCCGCGUGGAAGAAUGAAGGUCCUCUGGAUUGUAAACUUCUUUUAUCUGGGAAAAAACACAUGGUUUCUACUGUGGUUGACGGUACCAGAUGAAUAAGCACCGGCUUAACUCCGUGCCAGCAGCCGCGGUAAUACGGGAGGGUGCAAGCGUUAUCCGGAUUCACUGGGUUUAAAGGGUGCGUAGGCGGGCAGGUAAGUCAGUGGUGAAAUCCCCGAGCUUAACUUGGGAACUGCCGUUGAUACUAUCUGCCUUG
rnacentral:rRNA from 1 species